rnacentral:lncRNA from 1 species
GAGAAAAAUCAUCAAUGAAACUUAGAAUAUACCUAUUAUUGUUGCUUGAAAUUGGUUUGAUAGGUUCACAUAGGUCUGCAUGAACAAGUUGAAGUUUGUUGGAUGCUCUCCAUAGGCUUUUCCUCGGUAUAGACUUUCGAUAUUGCUUCUCAACCAAACAACACGUACAAAGAUCUAUUGUAGUAGUGAUAGAUGGCAACCCAUUUACUAAUUUCUUGGAUGAAA